AACGAACGCUGGCGGCAGGCCUAAAACAUGCAAGUCGAACGGGUGUAGCAAUACAUCAGUGGCGCACGGGUGAGUAACGCGUGGGAACGUGCCCUUCAGUACGGGACAACGUCGGGAAACUGACGCUAAUACCGUAUAAUAUCUCCGGAUCAAAGAUUUAUCGCUGAGGGAGCGGCCCGCGUGUGAUUAGCUAGUUGGUGAGGUAAUGGCUCACCAAGGCUACGAUCAGUAGCAGGUCUGAGAGGAUGAUCUGCCACACUGGGACUGAGACACGGCCCAGACUCAUAGGGGAGGCAGCAGUUAGGAAUAUUGGACAAUGGGGGAAACCCUGAUCCAGCCAGGCCGCGUGUGUGAUGAAGGCCCUAGGGUUGGAAAGCACUUUCGUUGGGGAUGUUAAUGACCGUACCCAAAGAAGAAGCCACGGCUAAAUUCGUGCCAGCCGCCGCAGUAA
rnacentral:rRNA from 1 species